rnacentral:rRNA from 1 species
CCCUUAGAUGUUCUGGGCCGCACGCGCGCUACACUGAUGCAUUCAACGAGUCUAAAACCUGGUCUGAUAGGGCUGGGUAAUCUUUUGAAUGUGCAUCGUGAUUGGGAUAGAUGAUUGCAAUUCUUCAUCUUCAACGAGGAAUGCCUAGUAAACGCAAGUCAUCAGCUUGCAUUGAUUACGUCCCUGCCCUUUGUACACACCGCCCGCCGCUCCUACCGAUUGAAUGAUCCGAUGAAUAUCAUGGAUUGAGGAUGCAAGUAGGUUCGCCUAUCUUCAUCUUCGAGAAGUGAAGUAAAUCUUAUCAUUUAGAGGAAGGAGAAGUCGUAACA